rnacentral:rRNA from 1 species
UGGGGAAUAUUGGACAAUGGGCGCAAGCCUGAUCCAGCCAUGCCGCGUGGAUGAUGAAGGCCUUAGGGUUGUAAAGUCCUUUCGGCGGGGAAGAUAGUGACGGUACCCGCAGAGGAAGCCCCGGCUAACUUCGUGCCAGCAGCCGCGGUAAUACGAAGGGGGCUAGCGUUGCUCGGAAUCACUGGGCGUAAAGCGCACGUAGGCGGCUUUUAAGUCAGGGGUGAAAUCCUGGAGCUCAACUCCAGAACUGCCUUUGAUACUGAGAAGCUUGAGUCCGGGAGAGGUGAGUGGAACUGCGAGUGUAGAGGUGAAAUUCGUAGAUAUUCGCAAGAACACCAGUGGCGAAGGCGGCUCACUGGCCCGGUACUGACGCUGAGGUGCGAAAGCGUGGGGAGCAAACAGGAUUAGAUACCCAAGUAGUCCCUGAGCGGGCUGGCAAGGCGCAU